GUGCAUGGCGGCAGCUACACAUGCAGUCGGACGGUAGCACAGAGAGCUUGCUCUCGGGUGACGAGUGGGGGACGGGGGAGUAAUGUGUGGGGAUCUGCCCGAUAGAGGGGGAUAACCACUGGAAACGGUGGCUAAUACCGCAUAACGUCGCAAGACCAAAGAGGGGGACCUUCGGGCCUCUCACUAUCGGAUGAACCCCGAUGGGAUUAGCUAGUAGGCGGGGUAAUGGGCCACCUAGGCGACGAUCCCUAGCUGGUCUGAGAGGAUGACCAGCCACACUGGAACUGAGACACGGUCCAGACUCCUACGGGAGGCAGCAGUGGGGAAUAUUGCACAAUGGGCGCAAGCCUGAUGCAGCCAUGCCGCGUGUAUGAAGAAGGCCUUCGGGUUGUAAAGUACUUUCAGCGGGGAGGAAGGCGACGGGGUUAAUAACCCUGUCGAUUGACGUUACCCGCAGAAAAAGCACCGGCUAACUCCGUGCCAGCAGCCGCGGUAAUACGGAGGGUGCAAGCGUUAAUCGGAAUUACUGGGCGUAAAGCGCACGCAGGCGGUCUGUUAAGUCAGAUGUGAAAUCCCCGGGCUUAACCUGGGAACUGCAUUUGAAACUGGCAGGCUUGAGUCUUGUAGAGGGGGGUAGAAUUCCAGGUGUAGCGGUGAAAUGCGUAGAGAUCUGGAGGAAUACCGGUGGCGAAGGCGGCCCCCUGGACAAAGACUGACGCUCAGGUGCGAAAGCGUGGGGAGCAAACAGGAUUAGAUACCCUGGUAGUCCACGCCGUAAACGAUGUCGACUUGGAGGUUGUUCCCUUGAGGAGUGGCUUCCGGAGCUAACGCGUUAAGUCGACCGCCUGGGGAGUACGGCCGCAAGGUUAAAACUCAAAUGAAUUGACGGGGGCCCCACAAGCGGUGGAGCAUGUGGUUUAUUCGAUGCAACGCGAAGAACCUUACCUACUCUUGACAUCCAGCGAACUUUCAGAGAUGGAUUGGUGC
rnacentral:rRNA from 1 species